rnacentral:lncRNA from 1 species
AUGCUGCACAUAGCAAAAGAUGCCGAAAACUUCGGUGGUCUGGAAAAUUGUAGUGCCUUCAUGUUUGAAAACUACCUGCAAACACUCAAGAGGAUGGUGCGUUCUGGUAGAAACCCACUGAUUCAGGUUGCUAGGAGGCUGGAAGAGAAAAUCGAACAGAAAAAAACAACAACUGUGGACAAAAUCUCUACAAAGACCCAAGACCCAAGUGCAUAUGUCCUCAGUGGUGGUCAAUGCUGUGAAGUCCUGCAAGUGGCUGACAAGGAACAAAGAGUGCUUUGCCGUGUUUACAGUAAACCUGAGCCACUGUUCGACAACCCAUGCAUGUCAUUUUUGAUUGGUGCCUACAAAUACAAAAAAAACACAACACCAUUUCAUGGAUUUCAAAAACAGAACUCACAAAACAUGCAAUUAAGAUUAGCACAGAAGAGAGAAGUGAGAUUUUUCUGUCAGUGCUCCAUGAAUUUUAAUCAAAGAAUGUAUGCAAUUGUAGAAUUUUCAGAGGAGGGAACAUGUGAAAUGGUGCCAGACAUCUGGUUGUUUAUGAAAGAUGAGGUACAAUACUGUUACUGGCCACCACUGAACGCAACUAAAAAAAUACAAAAGCUUGAACUGCCCGAUAAAGAAAAUUGGGCCAAGCACAGGGUCAGGGUGUUUGCUAAAACAGAUGACUAUGAAAGAGCAAAAAAGUGGUCGAAAAAAGCAGCUGUGCAAUCUUCACUUGAGAGCUGUGAUGACACCCCCAAAAGGAAAAGACGACCGGUGUGUCUCAGCAGCUCUUAUGAAGAUCACCUCCUUAGCCUCCUCAUUCAAAAAAUAGUAAGCAUAGAGAGUGAGAUGAAGGCAAUGAGGAGCACAAUAGCAGCCAUGCAUGAACUUUAUGCUCGUGCCCUGGGUGAUGGGACUUGCCAGCAAGCAGAGGAGAUGAGCCUUGAAGUGUGUGGCACCAUCAAUGAACUCCUCUCCCUUGAAGAAAAGAUAAAAGACGAUACCUUUAGGAAGAAAGUGACACAUCAUUUAAGCCUCGUUGGAGGUCCAAACCCUGGGGAGAACACCCGGCGGGUAAUGCAGGCAGUGGCCUUCUACGGCGUUUGGAAGGAAUUCAGCCUAAAGGGGAAAAAAGGGAAGAGACCACUCCAAAACCUGAUUAUUAUGAAAAUCAUAAUAAGUACAUACAAUAUGUCAGUGAAUCCAAAACAAUCAGUACUACCAGUACAUUUUGAAGUAUUGCUUCUUAAAGAUUAUUGGUUUUUAAUUAGCUUUAGUCAAAUGUAUUUGCAAUCAACUGUAACCAGCUGUCUUUAUGUUUACAAAAGUGUGAACCAAAUGGCCCAUAUAAUUAGCCUCUUAAGUCAAACUACUGCUCAGCCAAAUACAGCAAUAUCUAACACUUCAUAAUUAUAGGGCCUCAUUUUACAGAGGCAGUGAUGAGGUCCAAUCCUGGGAUCCAGCAAGCCAAAGUGGAAGACAUUGUAGCAGACAUGCUAAAACAUGCUCCAGAAAGGUGUCAGAAUGUAAGCUUCUUUUUAAGUUCUAUCUUAAGGGUCCUAAAAUGUAGUUUUCAAGGUUUGAAAUGUGCUUAAAUUUUGAUUCUGUUGUUUGUAAGGAUGUUAGUGAUAUAUAUUUCAUGAUUAGCUGAACUUUUAUAACUAAUUU